UAGGGAAUCUUCGGCAAUGGGGGCAACCCUGACCGAGCAACGCCGCGUGAGUGAAGAAGGUUUUCGGAUCGUAAAGCUCUGUUGUAAGUCAAGAACGGGUGUGAGAGUGGAAAGUUCACACUGUGACGGUAGCUUACCAGAAAGGGACGGCUAACUACGUGCCAGCAGCCGCGGUAAUACGUAGGUCCCGAGCGUUGUCCGAUUUAUUGGGCGUAAAGCGAGCGCAGGCGGUUUGAUAAGUCUGAAGUUAAAGGCUGUGGCUCAACCAUAGUUCGCUUUGGAAACUGUCAAACUUGAGUGCAGAAGGGGA
rnacentral:rRNA from 1 species